rnacentral:lncRNA from 1 species
UUCUCUGAGGGAAAACUAAGUAGAAUUAAGAACCAGUAUGACUUUUCAUUAUUAAAUGAUGGAAAGCAAAAACUAAAAUACUGUGAAUUUCCAGUAUGUAGAGCCUGGAAAGAUUAGCACUGCAGCCACCAAUGAUGUGAAUGACCAAAACGUUUGUUCGGGUGUAUCAUGAGUUUUGUUUGUACAGAUUUAAUUUCCAAGUGGUUUUUUAAUCAGGCAUUUAUUCAUUGAGCCCCUAGUAAAACCAGGCAGAAGUUCAGUGAUAUUUGGAGACACAGGCCUGGUGUCAUCCCACAAGUAAGCCACUUGCACCCCCAACCAGGCAUCUGCUCA